rnacentral:lncRNA from 1 species
GGAUUAACAACCUCGCCUUCACUCAUCGCCCCCAAGCCGGCGAAGCUCCACGGCCUGAGAAGGUGUGACUUCAGACUCUGGGUAAGGAUGGGGUGGGGGCGGAAUGCUGCGGUGUGUGAGGUGAUUGUAACCAGAACGGCCUGGCCAGGCAUCUCGUCGCUGUCCUGAGCACCGCUGGCAGGCAGCCGGCCCCCGGGAGCUCGGACCAACUGGCCCCAGCUGCCCAGGCAGGCCGCUGCCCUCCCCUCCUGCUUAUCAGCCGAAGUCGGUCUGAUGGAGGGGUUCGAGCCCCGGUGCGUGCUCGUCAACGCUUAGGCUCUGAGCGCAGUCCAGUGUUCAUCCGGUCACCACCAGGUAAGUCGCCAGGUGGGUGGGGAGCCUUGGACAGCCCGGGUCAAUUUGUUCCUUUCUUACCCACGCUGGCAGGCACACAUCUAUUAUUUCAGGGACACCCUAGGGCAGGGAGGUGGGAGUGGGAGCAACGACAGGUAUACCCAGAAUGGGUACCAUUCCACAGGGACUUCAUAGGGUGGGAGGAUGCUCUCUCAGUUUCAGAGAAGAGGGCACCGGCUUGUGCACUCUAAGUUGCAAGAAAGGAGAAACGGUAUGAGAUGCAGGCACCUCACCUGUCAGGAGCUUAUGUGUCUCAGCCUCUGCGCUGACAUGGUGUGCACUCCUGUCUCACCGUGAAACUACAGUGUUUAUCGGGGUGUCUCCUGUCCAAAGGGGUGCUCUUGUAAAGACCUGCUCUGUGGUGCAGCAGUCCCGUGAUAAGAGUUUUGAAUCUAAUGCCCGUGGAUUGGGGUUCGUGGUUUCUCCUUCUAGCUACUGGGUAGAUUGCCUUAAGUCUCUGGUCCUAGCCUCCUCGACAGGGAGACUGGAAUUUUCAGAGAAAAUAGAUUGUCAUUAGUUUAAUGUGAUGCGAAAUUGAGUGAUCAUUAUGAAAUAGAGCCUUCUUUUGGGUGACUAAUUAUCUUUAAAGAAAGCGUUGAUACUGUCUAGAGAGACUGAACAGAGUGCGUGCAUGUUUCCCUGGGAGGAAUCCCAGGUAGGUUCCAACUGGUGAGUGACGCGGCUGGCUCAGGCUCUGAGCAGGUGUCCUGACAGUGGGAGGGGGGCGCGGUGGGGGGGGGGAGACAUUCAGGAAGCUGGAGCUUGUGGGUUCGCAGAAGUCCCCAAACACUCCCCUCCCGCGAGGCCUUUCAUAGUUUCAUCCUACUUGAGGCUUGAACGGACCAAGACCUCCGCCAGGUCCCGCCAGAGAGUGGCCGGCACUGCAUUCCCGUGCCUGAGCCCUGGGGUCUGCUUUCUGCUUUGCGUUGGGCCCCCGCACAGAGUUCACUGGGGGCAGAGGGACCCGGGAGCAGAUGCGCAGACAGACAGACGCCACGGAGCCGGACAGUCUGUGCCCACAAUCAAAGGGAACUCUCCUCUCUCGCCCUCUCACCCCGCUCUGCUCACGGGGGAAACACCAGGCGGCCCUGACCAGUGUGACUGCCAAGACAGCCUCCUGGCUCGCUGGGGUCCUUUUCUGGGACACUCAGAGCCCAGAGUUUAAGCUCCGUCUGUUUGCUUUAAACCGGAUGCCUUCACCUGUCCAGGACCUCCAGGUUGCUGCAAAAAUCACCUUAGAAUUUAAAUUGUUUUUCAAGGAAAAUCAUUUAAAAAAAGAAAAAA